AAUGAACGCUGGCGGCGUGCCUAACACAUGCAAGUCGAGCGAGAAAGUCCCCUUCGGGGGGCGAGUAAAGCGGCGCACGGGUGAGUAACGCGUGGGUAACCUGCCCUUGAGUGGGGGAUAACCAGCCGAAAGGCUGACUAAUCCCGCAUACGACCGGCAGACACAAGUCUGUCGGGGAAAGAUGGCCUCUGCUUGCAAGCUAUCGCUCUUGGAUGGGCCCGCGUUGGAUUAGCUAGUUGGUGGGGUAACGGCCUACCAAGGCUGCGAUCCAUAGCUGGUUUGAGAGGACGACCAGCCACACUGGAACUGAGACACGGUCCAGACUCCUACGGGAGGCAGCAGUGAGGAAUAUUGCGCAAUGGGGGAAACCCUGACGCAGCGACGCCGUGUGAGCGAUGAAGGCCUUCGGGUCGUAAAGCUCUGUCAGAGGGAAAGAAAGGGUCGGCGGAAUAAUACCCGCCGACAUUGACGGUACCCUCGGAGGAAGCACCGGCUAACUCCGUGCC
rnacentral:rRNA from 1 species